rnacentral:rRNA from 1 species
GACGAACGCUGGCGGCGUGCCUAAUACAUGCAAGUCGAACGCAGUGGGGACGGGUGAGUAACACGUGGGUAACCUCCCAUCAGAGGGGAUAACACUUGGAAACAGGUGCUAAACCGAUACUGAUGGAUGGACCCGCGGUGCAUUAGCUAGUUGGUGAGGUAACGGCUCACCAAGGCCACGAUGCAUAGCCGUCCUGGGAGGGUGUCCGGCCACACUGGGACUGAGGCACGGCCCAGACGCGUACGGGAGGCAGCAGUAGGGAAUCUUCGGCAAUGGACGAAAGUCUGACCGAGCAAGGCCGCGUGAGUGAAGAAGGUUUUCGGAUCGUAAAACUCUGUUGUUAGAGAAGAGGUAUCUACCCAGAAAGCCACGGCUAACUACGGGCCAGCAGCGGCGGUAAUUC